GGCGGGGGUGGGUGGAGGGGGGGGGAUCAGAGAGCGAGAGUGCAGAAAAAGAGAACAGGAAGCCAGCAAACUCCUUUCGGGUUAGCCGUGCAAAAACGUGUGGAUUGCAUUCUGGCGAAGCGCAGUUUCAUUUUCCACCCCCUCCCCCCAGGAAACACAUGCGACGGAGCGCCAGUUCCCCCCCCCCAAAAAAAGCGAGGGAGGCGGGGGCGCAGGGCCGUCUUGACUUAGUUGCAAAGGCAGAUGCAACGGAGAGCUCAGUUUAUCGGUCUCAAACGAAACGAUAGAGAUUUUGCACCUAGCUUACAGGGUUUUUACAGCUCUUUCUCGGAAAUGCCACAUUUUCUAUAAACUGGUAAUUCUUCGGAAUUAUUUUUUUUUUUUAGAGAUCCCGACCUAGGAAAAUGCAAAGGGAGGGAGGAUUGGAGGGAAAAAAAAUAUGCAAGGAGUGAAAGGGACCAUAAUUUUGAGGGAAAUUUUUGAGUGUUAAAUUCGAGCGUGAGGCAGUGAGUCAUGGAUUGCUCUUGUGCAACAGCUUCAGUGUUUUUAUGAGAGGUCGCGGCCGGAUUGCUGCUGCAGCAGCCCAGUGCAAGAAAAGAACAAACACUCUGCAAGUGAAGAAGCAGAAGAGACGGCGCUGUGGCAAAAACUGCUGGUUUUGGCUAGGAAAACAAAGCAGGCCAGAAAACUCUUGGGGAGAAAAUACUAUCCUGUACUAUCUUGCAUUUGCGUUCCCCACAUUCCUGCUUGGAAAAAAAAACAAAUAUGUGUGCCAAGCACAUGGCUUCCUGUACUGAAAAAAUCUCUCAAAUAAAUUAAGCUUUGGUGACUUCAAA